rnacentral:rRNA from 1 species
UAGAGUUUGAUCAUGGCUCAGAUUGAACGCUGGCGGCAGGCCUAACACAUGCAAGUCGAGCGGUAACAGGAAUUAGCUUGCUAAUUCGCUGACGAGCGGCGGACGGGUGAGUAAUGCCUGGGAAUAUGCCUUAGUGUGGGGGAUAACUAUUGGAAACGAUAGCUAAUACCGCAUAAUGUCUUCGGACCAAAGAGGGGGACCUUCGGGCCUCUCGCGCUAAGAUUAGCCCAGGUGAGAUUAGCUAGUUGGUGAGGCAAGAGCUCACCAAGGCGACGAUCUCUAGCUGGUCUGAGAGGAUGAUCAGCCACACUGGAACUGAGACACGGUCCAGACUCCUACGGGAGGCAGCAGUGGGGAAUAUUGCACAAUGGGCGCAAGCCUGAUGCAGCCAUGCCGCGUGUAUGAAGAAGGCCUUCGGGUUGUAAAGUACUUUCAGUUGUGAGGAAGGCAGUUAAGUUAAUAGCUUGGCUGUUUGACGUUAGCAACAGAAGAAGCACCGGCUAACUCCGUGCCAGCAGCCGCGGUAAUACGGAGGGUGCGAGCGUUAAUCGGAAUUACUGGGCGUAAAGCGCAUGCAGGCGGUCUGUUAAGCAAGAUGUGAAAGCCCGGGGCUCAACCUCGGAACAGCAUUUUGAACUGGCAGACUAGAGUCCUGUAGAGGGGGGUAGAAUUUCA